GGGACCGGGCGGCCGCGGAAGGCGAGAGGCUGCGUGCCCCUUCCCCGCCGCGUGUGUGUCCCGGGUGUGCCCGUGCGCGUGUGUGAUGGGGCGCGGGGGCGGGCGGGAGUGUGCUUUGCGGCUCUGAGUCCAUGGGUGGGAUUCUGGGCGCUUCUGCACUCGCAUCUCUCCCCGACAGGCACGGGCAGUUCCGCGAACUUGUCCCCGUCUCCAGCCCCCUCCCGCGCGGGGAUCUGGGGGACCCUGGGGACGGCAGCCUGGUGCUCCAGCACCCUCCAACGCCGCCGCCUCACCGAGACUCACCGAGGGUCCCCCGAGGACAAGUGCAGGCCCCCUCCCCCUGCCAGCAGCUGCUCCUUCAGCCAGGCCAGCAGAAGGGCCUUCCCCUGGACCCUCAGAGCAAGUGGUUUGGUCGGGAAGGGGUGGACGCUUCAGGCAUUGGGGAUGGCCAGGCCCUUGUCCCAGGGAGGGCUCGCCUCACCUCGAGGUGCCAGCAGGUGGGGGCAGGUGCCCAGGCUCCCGACUCCCCCCAGGGCACCCCUCCAGGCUGGAAGGGUGGUUUCGCUUCUGGGACCACUGCUUUGUGCACCAGGGAGCUUGAGCUCCCAGGUGUGCGCCUCAGCACGCCCGCCAACAAGGGGCUCCUGGUAGUGGAAGAGACCCCUUCUCCCUCCAGACAAAGAGGCCCUGCUGCAGGGCCCACCCUGAGACCGCAGACCCGGAGAGGCUGUGGGGCGGCUGUGGCUUCCCACCUGCGGGUGAGCAGCAGAGAAGUAGGACCUCCCCUGGGUGGGCCACACCGUGCAGAGAGAAGAAGAGGCCCUGCCCAGCUGGGGCCCGGAAGGACACACAGCACCUGGGGUGGGCCGAGGAACUGAAAGGCGGGAGUGUGGGGGCCCGGCUGGGGUACAGGUUCUCUCAGCAGCACCUCUUCCUGUAUACGCGAACUUUUCAAGAAAAGGAAAACAUUUAGUCUAUUUUAAUGCAACUACUCAGCGAUGGAGGGCCACAGCUGGUGAAUUAGGCCUUCAAAGGUCCAGUUAAGGUCCCAGCUACAGAGGAGCAGGACUUAGGAGAGCCCAGUGCUUUGGACGCAUCCGUGGAGGGAGGCUGGAGCAGAUGUCAGCAGAAGGGAAAAGGACCACGGACUUCUAUAACAGACUUUUUUUUUUUUUUUUUUUUUUGAGACAUAGUCUCGCUCUGUAGCCCAGGCUGGAGUGCAGUGACGUGAUCUCGGCUCACUGCAAGCUCCACCUCUUGGUGUCGGUUCAAGCGAUUCUCCUGCCUCAGCCUCCCGUGUAGCUGGGAUUACAGGCAUGUAAUUACCAUGCCCAGCUAAUUUUCGUAUUUUUAGAAGAGACGGGGUUUUGCCAUGUUGGCCAGGCUGGUCUUGAACUCCUGACCUCGUGAUCUGCCUGCCUCAGACUCUGAAAGUAGGGGGAUUACGGGCGUGAGCCACCGCGCCCAGCCCACAGACACGAUUUUUUAAAGAAAGUGUCUGUAAUCUGAGAAAGUGUGCGGUCGCCAGGCAUCCCACGGACAACUUGCAGACCAUUUGGAGCCGCUCCAGCACCUGGGCGGGCAUUUUCCAGCUCAAGGUCUGGGAGGGAAGCCGCCUCCCACCGCCUUCCGCUCACUCCAGCCCAUCGGAUGGCGUGCCCAUCUUGUCCUUGGGGGCUCUGUGUCCCCUGGGCUGCUGCCCACUGACUGCACACUCCACGUCCGGCGGGACAGGCGCCCGCACGCCUGGAACAUGGAUGUUCCCUGCCCUGACAUCGGCCGUGUUCACACAGCCGGAGCGGGGACCACCUCAACGCGAUGUGAGGGCCUCCACCGAGAAAAGACAUAAACAGCAGACGGUCCAGUGAGACAAGACGGGAAAUCAUCCUGAGAGUGGUGACGCCGUGAUGCGCGCCCUGUGCUGAGCGUCAGAAGCCCAGGCCGGUUGGAGACCGGCAUUGAGAUGGUUUAAUUCAGCUGUGGAACGUUCAGAUGUAUUGUUUCUAAUCCUCCAGGUCUCUGGAAAAUUUGCUUCUGGUUUUCGCUGUUUCCUUUUUUCUUUUUUUGGCGGGGGUUGUUUUUAAGGGCAAUACUUUUCUUUGACAAAGAGCUGGGGGUAGAGAGUACAAGUGACCUCCUAGCUCAGCCAUCAUGUGGCGGAACCCAAGAAGGUGGGGUGGGCUCCUCGGGGUCUCCCAUGGAUCUCAGCGUCCCCCACGCUGCCCAGGGGAAGGAGGACAUCGGCAGUGGGGCCCGGCAUGGCCGUGAUGGAACAGGCACGCCCUGACUGGUCCUCAGCUCCCUGCAGCAGUGGUGCCCGUGGCUGGUCUGCCAGAAAUUGGACCAAGGGCUGGUGGACAGAGUCCUGUCCUGGCAAAGCCUGGAGAGCCAGCCGUGGCGGUCCCUGCCUGGUGUCCAGUGAGACCCCUUCUCCCAGCCAGCUCUGGGUUCUGCUGCUACCUGUGGUCUGUGAGCCGGGGACCCAGGCCACCGCCACCAAGGAGGCUGCCCACGCGGCCAGGAAACCAGGCCCUGGGAAGAUGCAGACAAGAGGGGCGUCCCCGCCUAGACUGGCCCCUGCAGGGAUCGGCCUCCAGGGCAGGCAACAGGGCCUCUCACUGACCCGGGCCCGGGCCCUGCCUGGCCAGAAUGCUUCUUCCCUGGGAGCAGCCUCGGUGGGGCCCCAUUGAGCUGCAGACUCUAGGGCAGGACGGAGCCCGGUAGGCUGCCCUGAAGCAUGGCGGGCUCUCACCUUUGUCCUGCCGUGGAGUCAGAGACACGAGACCCUGGAGUGGGGAGCAGUUGUCUGUGUGGAAGACGAGAGGAGCGAGGGCACCACACCACUGUCCCCAAGACCGGCCCCCAGGCACUGCGCGGAAGAGGCCGUGGCCUGUGAGGUGGCCCUUCCCUGCCCUGGACAGGCUGUGGAGGGGCUGCAGGCGGAGGCUGGGCUGGGGAGUGCUUGAAAGAUCACUGAGCUGUGAGGGGCCUGCAGGCUGCCUGGGGACCUGGGGAGGGAAGCUCCGGGCCUUUCUCUGGCUCUGCAGACGCAUGGCCUGGGUUCAGAUGCCAGCUCCACCACUUCCUGGCUGCGUGGCCUUGGACAUGUGUCUUACCCUCUCUGAGCCUUACAUUUGCUCCUCUGGAAAAUCAAUGCUUCAUCCAAUAAAAAGUGAUCAUG